rnacentral:snoRNA from 1 species
AAGCUGUGAUGUGGGCACUUUCUCAAUAAGUUCUUGAACCUCUCCUAAGCUUCGUAAAAACUCUCUUGAUCAUGGUGGACAAAAGUCAUUAUCUCAUUAUUCAGUUU